rnacentral:rRNA from 1 species
UACGUAGGAGGCUAACGUUAUUCGGAUUUACUGGGCGUAAAGCGCGUGCAGGCGGUUCGGUAAGUUGGACGUGAAAGCUCCCGGCUCAACUGGGAGAGGUCGUUCAAUACUGCCGGGCUAGAGGAUGGUAGAGGGAGGUGGAAUUCCGGGUGUAGUGGUGAAAUGCGCAGAUAUCCGGAGGAACACCAGUGGCGAAGGCGACCUCCUGGGCCAUUCCUGACGCUCAGACGCGAAAGCUAGGGUAGCGAACGGGAUUAGAUACCCGUGUAGUCCCUGAGCGGG